AACCAAAUCAAGUGAAUCUAUUACAACCGGAAAAGAAGGAGUAAAAGCAAGUUAGACUCGAUUUUGAUGAUGAUAUUGGUAGUAGCAAUGAAAUCUCCGGUACGAAUAAAAGCAUAAGCAAUCUUCAAUGAGGAUCCACAACCGAGUUUGAGCAGAGAAUUGAUCUCUUUAGAUCUGAUCGACAAUGGAGGCGUGGAGCCAUUGAACCGAGAUAGCAUUAAAAUUUUCAGAAAAAUAUCUAGCACAGGCCUUAGGUGGUUCAACGAUUUGCCCAAAUGCUCUAUCGCCUCUCAUGGUUCAUCGGCUCACCAGCUCAUCGGCUCUUCACUCCAACAGCUCCUCGAGCGUCCAAUUUUUGAAGUGCCCCUCUGUGAGGCGUCUCCCCUGUGAGGCGCCCCGCUUGUGAGGCAUUUCGCUUAUGUUGCGUCUCGCUUAUGAGGCGUCUCGCCUCUUCACUCCAUCAGCUCUUGGAGCAUACAAAAAUUUGAAAAGUAUCUAGCACAGCCCUCAAGUGGUUCAAUGAUUUGCUUCCAUGCUCUAUCGCCUCUCCUAUUUCAUCGUCUCAUCGGCUCACCAGCUCUUCGCUCUAACAGCUCUUGGAGCGUCCAAUUUUUGAAG
rnacentral:lncRNA from 1 species